CACACCCCGCCGCGGCCGGCUCGCCGCCCUCCCUUUCCUCUUCCGUCUGGCCUCCCCGCCCUCGGUCCACCCCCUCGGCGCGUUCGCCCACCCCGCCCAGCCCGGAUCUCUGUCAGCGGCCGGAAGGGAAACACGAAGCCAGCGCGGCCGCGGGGGGAGUCCGAAUGAUGAAUUGAAAUGAAAUGAAAUGUUGGAGAGAUGCAACAUUCCUGACUUUGAAGAUGAAGGGAAGUGGGCCUUGAGUCAAGAAAUGUGGGUGGUCUCCAGAAGAUGGAAAAGACAAGGAAACAAUCUCCCUUUCAGCCUCCAGAAAAGAACCCAGCCAGCCCUGUUGACAUCUUGAUUUAGCCCAAUGAAACCCAUGUUGGACUACUGACUUACAAAACUGUAAAACGAUGUUUGUUAAAUUUAGUUUUAAGCCAUAAAUUUGUGGUAAUUUGUUUCAGCAGCAAUAGAAAACUAAUAGAAGUGAUGUGCAGAUCUAGAGAAUAGCAUAUGCAAAACUCCUGAUACAAAAUUCCUUGCUUCUUUCUAGGAACAGAAAUAAAGCCAGUAUGACUAGAACAUAGUUGGGAGAGAAGGCCCAUGCCAGACUUAACAGAGCACUGCAAACAUUGUUAAGAUUUUGGCCUAGAUCCUAAAAGCAAUACAAAGCAUUUAAGUGUGUAAGCAACACAAUCAGGUUUUUAUUAAAAUAUUCAGACUAGA